AAGGUGGGUAUGUUAAUAGCAUAUUCAUUUGACGUUAGCUGCAGAAGAAGCACCGGCUAACUCCGUGCCAGCAGCCGCGGUAAUACGGAGGGUGCGAGCGUUAAUCGGAAUUACUGGGCGUAAAGCGCAUGCAGGUGGUUUGUUAAGUCAGAUGUGAAAGCCCGGGGCUCAACCUCGGAAUUGCAUUUGAAACUGGCAAACUAGAGUACUGUAGAGGGGGUAGAAUUUCAGGUGUAGCGGUGAAAUGCGUAGAGAUCUGAAGGAAUACCGGUGGCGAAGGCGGCCCCCUGGACAGAUACUGACACUCAGAUGCGAAAGCGUGGGGAGCAAACAGGAUUAGAUACCCUGGUAG
rnacentral:rRNA from 1 species